rnacentral:pre_miRNA from 1 species
CACCGCCACUGGCUUCUCCAGCGAAGGAGAAGGCCACCGCUACUGGUUGCCUACUCCUUCGCUGGAGAAACCGGCGACCCAA